AUGCUUACUUGGAUGGGGUUAAUGGGUGAUCAAGAAGGCCCAUUACCUAGUCGAGUAACCUCCAUUGUACUAAGGAGGGGUACUUGUCUAAGGACCAACCAUGUGGUGGGUCCUACAUCAUAAUUUUUUAUAGUCGGGGUUUGCGCUUGCGCGACCCUCAU